ACAAAUGAAAGCUUAGUGGUAGAGCGGUCGGCUGUUAACCGAUUGGUUGUAGGUUCAAAUCCUACUUUGUG
rnacentral:tRNA from 1 species